CGGGGUGUAGCGCAGCUUGGUAGCGCACCUGCCUUGGGCGCAGGGGGUCGAAGGUUCGAAUCCUUUCGCCCCGACCA
rnacentral:tRNA from 2 species